UUGAGUUAGAGUGGGUUAGAAAAUAACUGUUGAGUAUCCAAACAGGGCCGAGAUUACGAGAACCCACGCCCCAGCCGCCAUCGCCGUCGCCGAUCUAUUCGCUACGUCGACGGAAACCACGCCCUAUCCGCCAUCGCAGAUCCCUUUGCUGUCGCCGAGGUCCUGGAGGAGCCGCCGCCACCUUCAUUACGGACCUCCAGGUCGCCGUCGGGACACCGCGGCAAAGGUUCGCCACGGCCGCCGUCGAGUUCCGAGAGGGGCAUGACCCCAGGGAGAUCUUCGUCGGGGUUGCCGCCGCCGCCGACGUUGCCUGCCGAAGGUGAGAUCCCAGGACCUGUCUCCUCCUCUCUUUGCAGCGCUAUGCUCUGUCGCGAGGCUGGCGGUGGCGGGUGGGUCGAUGAACAGAGAGGAAAGAUACGGUGCCGUCGAUCCGUCCUGCCUGUGGAUUCACUGGAUGCGUCUUGGUGGAGUGAGCGCUCGUGAGAUUCGAUCUGGUUGCUCUGUCUUUCAAGGUGGAUUCGUUGUCAGUAGGUUGGGACGGAUUGAUCGCUGUUGGAUUUGUUAACUUGCAGGUGGGCUAAACCUCUCGUCCUCUGGCGACGAACAUCGCCUCCCGCUAGGGUAUGCGGGCGACAGUCGUUACUCAGCGCCAGCAGGUCGCUGCCCCGUCCUCCAAUUGACAAUGGUAGCAUGCUUAUGCCUUGGGGCAUGGUGUCGCGGGUAGAGUGUGUGCUGCCAUGGCUGAACGAAGCAGCAGUCGGCCGUGCACACUGUCUGACUACUAUUGAUGUUGGUCUUUCAUGUAGGCUUGCCUUCAAAUAUCACGGCUAGGUAUGUAUGGAUCGUGCAACCUGCAUAUUCACAACUCUGAAGCAAUAGAACUACAAUCAGCUCACAACCCCCAUCGAGUAGUACACCUAUCUGUUCCAUUCAGAGGUACUCAUCUUGUUGAUUCAGGUGAGAUCUAUUACCUAUACCUUAGAUCCUCUAAACUGAAGGAGCUCCGAUGGGAAGGGUAUUUUAAAAUCUGGUGUUGUCUACAUGUUUUGGCUGCUUGUAUCUUCCUAGGCGAUGUCUUACUAGCUGACGAGCAAAUCAUAUGAAAAUAUGAACCACAUAUGAUCUUUGCUAAUAGAAGUACAACACUCAACCUGUGCUAUGUCAAUUCUAUGGCCACUACAUAUUCAGACGGGCAAAUGAACCAAAUAACUCUUUCAGUGGGCCAGUGAUAGUAUUAUUUGUUGAACUGAUUAGAGAAGUAAACUAUAUACAACAGUAAACAGAAGUUGAAUUGUUUAGAGAGGUAAACUAUAGAACGGUAAUCUGAAGUACACUUGGAUCCCAAAGAUGCUGGUGGAAAUACGUCAACAAGUUACCCGCUACAAUCAUCACCAGAGAUAUAACCACAAAAACUGUAGUUCAAAUCUAUCCGCUACAUUAACCUUGAAUUUCCUAUCCAUUCUCAUCACCGAUGACCUGCCAUAAACCGUACAAAUAACAAUGAGUAUUGUGUUUACCUGCACACAAAAGAAGGGAAUUGUUCCUGAACCUGGUUUCUGAGGCCAGGCACGAGUAUUGUUUAAUUUCAGAAUUUUAGAAGAGGUGUAAACCAUUAAGAGGGACGUACCAUGACGCCAAAAGUUUCAGUCUGCCACCAAGUUUAUUUUGUUCAUCCCACAAAAAACAUGAACUCUCAAUCAAUGGCUGCAUAGUGUCAGAACACAAGAGGAUUUUGAGCCAAUCAAAAUAUAUUCAUUUAAAAAAAUCACUGCUGGACCGACUGUUAUUCUUCAGUUGCAUUCCCUCUACUUAUCUCUGACGAAUCUACUAUUCUUCAGUUGCAUCCCCCUGUACUGAUAUUAGCUAAUAUAAGUGACAAUGCUCUGACUCUUGGAAUUUGUAAUGCUCAUCCAAUCCUCCCCGUCUAUACCUAUUUAAUAGCUUCAAGAGCUCUCCCCAAAUCAUCAUUCAAAAGUUCUUCAUCUACUUGUGCUAUGUUACGUAGAUAUUUUUCUAGCUUUCAAAGGAAGCAUGUCCAGGUGUUCCUAACAUGCUCGAGGUUUGUAGGGAAUUUAGAAUAUGUAUAUCGAUCGGGCACCUUCGUUGUGUGAAAUUCCUUACUUAUUAUGUCACUUAUAUCAGCUAACUAUCAAGACCAAUGAACUGCAUCACGUCUAUGUAAUCACUUUUUAGUUUAUGUCAAGAUUAAUAGACUGCAUAUGCACCCCCACACCCUUGGUUAGAUCUACAAUCAAAUGUAAUGGUGAGAUUUAAUUUAAAAACAGUUAAUUUGUUUGCAUGGCUAUGCAAAAUUAGACAAUGAUUACAUUCUUUAAAUAAACAGUUAAGGGCAUGCCAGACUUUGCAAUCUUCAGAAGAGAUUGUUAGCCUAAAAUCUGCAAGACAAUAUAUCUGCGUACUUCGAGGACUGGUAGUUUGUUGCAAUUACCAGAUACUGCAAGCUGUGGUUCUAAUUCAUUCUUUCGCAUUACCGUUUUGGAAUUCAAUCUGUGGUUGACUGUUACUUGAUGGUUCUCUUGUUUCGAUCUCCUAGGACUGGAAUGUAGAAGCUUUUUGUUUGUUUUCUCACCAUAUCGUUGUAACAACUCUCAGCGUCUUAUGAAAAUUCUGAAGUAGUUUGGAGAAAAGAUGUGUGAGAAGUAGGUGUAUAGAUAUGUUCCUUCCAUGUAUUGGAUCGAGGAAUUUCUUAUAUUUCUUCUUUUAUUAAUUUCAGGAGAGGAAGAGAAUUUUAGUGGUACUUCAGAUUUUGGUAAUUGUUCAUGAUUGAGUUCACCAUAAUUGAUAAAAAAAUUAUGACUGUUAUCAUUUUCAUGGUUUAUUUUAGUUGCUGGAAGGAAAGCACUGCUAGAAAUUUCGGAAUUGAGAUGUGGUUUUGAACAGUUCUGUCAGGUAUUGCUUAUUUGCAUUGUGCAAUCACAAUUCUGGGGACAAUCGUUUUUAGUUUUGUAGUAUUUCGGAUCUGGAUCCUAUCUUUCUAGCAGAUCACCACAUUUGGCGGGAUUUGGCUUAUUAAACAACAAGCAAACAAUAAAUUUUGUGAAUAUAAUGUGACGUUUCCAGUUAUAACUUUUAGACUUUUGAUUCCUUCCUUUAGUUGUCAGCGGAAAAUACUGAAGGCAUGUAGUUGUAUACAUGUUUGAAAAAUCAGAAGCGGUUAGUAACAUUUUGCAUCCUGAUACUACAAUCGACAUUACUAAGCUUGAUGCACUCAUGAAUCUUUAAUAACAGGAUUAACAGUGAUGUUGCUGCUUGAGUUACUUUACAGGUAACGCUGUUAUGCCAAUGACAUAGUUUAUUCAGCUCUCAGGACAACUACUUCUAUUUCAUAUUCAUACUAAAACUUCUAUGAAGCUACCAAAAUUCCUUGUUGUGAAUUUGUUCUGAAGCUACUAAAAUAUCCCCUUAUACUAAAAUUGGAUUUCUACUGAAACUUUGUCAGGAUACUCAGUCCUGUUGUACUAAAAUUUACCUGCUUGCUUAUGCAUUAAAAUCUACCUUGUUUCUGAAAUUUAAUAAGGAGGAGCUCAAGGGAGAAAAUGAUUCAAGGAGAAGAGAGCCAGAGAAGGAGAAUUAAGAUGUGCCUUAUACUUAUAAUUUCUGAGCACUACUUGAAUCGCGAUAUCAUGUUAGAAGUGUGGGUAUGGGAGGUUUGGUGGAUUGUGAGCCGGAGAUGGUGGAGGAUUGUUAACAGCACUGAUUUAACGGUAAAAAAAUAUUGGUAGUGUUCUUUAUGAAACAUUUGGUCGAUUGUGUGCAGCUACGGGGACACAUAUUUUUGUAGUUCUACAUCAAUCAUAUUUAACUGAGAUCUGGAUGUUCAGCCAAGGUAUGUGAUGUGUAGUAUACUAUGCAAAUCUUUGUUAAAUAUCAUAUACCCACUCCGUAUACUACAUAUCAUAUACCCAGUCCCAUGAACCAUGUGGUUCUGACAUAAAAAUGUCCUUCGAUGAAUUUUUUCAUGGUUCAUGGGACCAACAACAUUCGAAGAGCAUUUCAGCUGUAUGGUUAGGCUUCUUGAAUUCUAUCAUAAGUCAUAACCUUCAUGUUACGUGGACGGACAUGCUCUGUCAAUUUUUCCCAGGUUCAUUACAACUUACGGCAACAGUAAUACUGCUUGCUUAUUUUACUAAUAACUUCUGCAGGAGGAGCUUGCAAGUAUGUUUCACUUGCUUGGGCUGGAACUUUGGUUCAUGGAGAAAAGUUGCAUGAUUAGCCAAGGUAUGUCUGAACCAAUCCUAACUAAUCUCCCCUCUACUAUGAGGAUACUAACACGAGCAUGUAGGAAUGGGAUUGUAUAUUUUUUUGCUGAAUUAUUCGCAUAGCUAUGUAAAUAUGUUCCCUCAACCUACAAGGAGCAUGAUCUUUUUGGCGCAUAACGACAAUGACAUUCUCCGCCCAGGGGAUAUUGAAUCGGUACCUUUUUUAUUGAAGCAUUAGGUCAAUUUCAAACCAUGAAGAUUAGUAAAGAGCAACUAUUCCCUGAGUCCCCUUUUGGGGCCUUGCCUUCUUUUUAUAUAUCCAUUUCUUUAGUUGACACAUCCUUCUGUCAUCUGAGCUUGUCACAUUUGGAUAUUUUUCUCAAUUGAUGAUAUGGGUACAAUUUAUGUAGAAAACUAAGGCACUCAACAUAGUGUUUGUGGCGUAAGAGGUUGGGAUUGCCACAUAAUAUUUUAGCAUGUUCAUCUAACAGACCCUCCUUUCAUUCCUUUAUAGCGCCGUGCGGUUCAUUCUCCUUUGGUGAUGGAACUCAUGGUCCUAUAUGUGCAUUUGGCAACCACUGGAAGAACAUGCGACGACUGGGCUCUCAAGUUCAGUUAUCAUAAUUAACUUGGAUGCUUUUGGGUGUUGUCUCUAGCUGGUGUAAAAUUGGCAAUGACCUAUGUUGGAGAUCUCACGUUUGCCCUGUAGAUUUUAGACUUUGAUAACUACAUCUUGCGGUGUCUUCUCACAUAAGAUACGUCCAUGUUGUUUGGUUCAAAAAUGGAACUGGGUAUGUAAUGCAGUGGAUAGAUCUUUUUUUCAGAGAGAAAUAUAUCUAUAUUUCUAUUGUUCAAUGUUUUUGAUA